UCUAUCCCCAAGCCAUAAGACUGCUAAAUAGCUAACAAAAUGGCUACACGAACUUUUUUCACCUUUAUUUAACCAGUACUACAUUGAUUGUUACGUGCCUCCUAAGAGAGGUAGGUGCAAGAGUCAGGAGCAGGGGUGCAAGGAUUUCCAGAAGCACAAACGUUUAUUAGAACGUCCCAAACACGACAACAACAGGUGGGGAAACACACCCAACGAAGUCGCCACACACAGGGAAAUAAACGUAGCACAUGGAGGAGAAACCUCUACUCCUAAAUAAACUACAACGGUACAACACGACCGUGAGGAAAAAAAACCUGUGGCGCAAACACGCACCCCUAGCAGAGCAACAACAGCACAUAAUCCCGCACAAAGAAUAGCAGGCAGAGGGGGUUAAUAAACCCACCGAAAUUAACUAAUAGGACACAGGUGUAAAACAAAACAGACAGACACAAACGAAAAGGAAAAAUGAAUCGGUGGCAGCUAGUAGGCCGGCGACGACGACCGCCGAGCACCGCCCGAACAGGGAGAGGAGCCACCUUCGGUGGAAGUCGAUUGAUUACUGCAUUGUUGGGUUUAGAAAGGCAUUUCAUUGUACUUGAGCACGACAACUUGAAACUUUACUGAAGAAUGUGUUUGUUUCAUAUGGUUGUUUUGCUUUUCAUCUUUUGUCCCACUGGGCACACACUGGUUGAAUCAACGUUGUUUCCACGUCAUUUCAAGGAAAUUAUGUUGAACCAACGUGGAAUAGACGUUGAAUUGACAUCUGUGCCAGUGAGGUGUAAUUGAUGUGUUUAUAGAUAUGUAUAGUGUAAUUGUUGUUUAUUGAUGUGUUCAUGCAGAGCUCAUGUGCGAAAGAGACCGCGGUCUCAGCAUGACUCCCUGCUUAAAUGAAGGUUAAAAAACAACCUAAAUAAUAAAUGGUGGCUGUGUCGAGUGGAGUGGACUUGAGACAGCUGAGGCAGCAGGGGUAUGUAUUGUGUUUAAUAGCUUACUGUUUUUUGGGGGGGAGAUUGAGAGAGAGUGCAGUUUUAUGCACGUAACACUUUAAUCUAUUAGACCUUUGAUAUUGAAUCCCUGUUGAAUAUUGUGUUUGCUGUGUUGCACUGAAAAUCAGUUUGCUGAGCUUCAACUUAAAAUUUGCUGUGUUUUGUUUCAGGCCUUUGUUAAACUGUAAAUUACCUUUGGUGACAUCCAAAUUACGCCUGCC
rnacentral:lncRNA from 1 species